rnacentral:rRNA from 1 species
UACGAAGGGGGCUAGCGUUGCUCGGAAUCACUGGGCGUAAAGGGUGCGUAGGCGGGUCUUUAAGUCAGGGGUGAAAUCCUGGAGCUCAACUCCAGAACUGCCUUUGAUACUGAAGAUCUUGAGUUCGGGAGAGGUGAGUGGAACUGCGAGUGUAGAGGUGAAAUUCGUAGAUAUCGGGAAGAACACCCGUGGCGAAGGCGGUUCUCUGGGACGGUACUGACGCUGAGACGCGAAAGCGUGGGGAGCGAACAGG